GUGAAAGCCGCAAGGUGAGUUAGCGUUGGCGGACGGGCGAGUAACACGUAAUCAAGCUGCCUGCGAGACGGGGAUAACCUCGGGAAACCGAGGCUAAGACCCGAUGGUCUGUUUGGAGCGCAUGUUCCUGACAGUAAAUGGGCGGGAUCCUUCGGGAUCGCCUGCUCGCAGAGGUGAUUGCGGCCCAUCAGCUAGUUGGUAGGGUAAUGGCCUACCAAGGCAACGACGGGUAGCCGGCCUUAGAGGGUGGUCGGCCGCACUGGGACUGAGACACUGCCCAGACUCCUACGGGAGGCUGCAGUCGAGAAUCUUCCGCAAUGGGCGAAAGCCUGACGGAGCGACGCCGCGUGGAGGACGAAGGCCUUCGGGUUGUAAACUCCUGUCACGAGUUAAGAAGGUGCCUGUGCGAACAGCGUAGGCAUUUGACGUAAGCUCGAGAGGAAGCACUGGCUAACUCUGUGCCAGCAGCCGCGGUAAUACAGAGAGUGCGAACGUUGUUCGGAAUUACUGGGCUUAAAGCGCACGUAGGCGGCGUCGUAAGUGUCAGGUGAAAUCCCACGGCUCACCCGUGGAACUGCCUGGCAUACUGCGGCGCUCGAGUGUGGUAGGGGAGAGCGGAACUCCUGGUGGAGCGGUGAAAUGCGUAGAUAUCANGAGGAACACCGGUGGCGAAGGCGGCUCUCUGGUCCACAACUGACGCUNAGGUGCGAAAGCUAGGGGAGCAAACGGGAUUAGAUACCCCGGUAGUCCUAGCUGUAAACGAUGGGCACUAGCUUGGGGUCUCCCUGUGUGAUCCCAGGUGAAGCAAAAGUGAUAAGU
rnacentral:rRNA from 1 species